AUUGAACGCUGGCGGCAGGCCUAACACAUGCAAGUCGAGCGGUAGAGAGAAGCUUGCUUCUCUUGAGAGCGGCGGACGGGUGAGUAAUGCCUAGGAAUCUGCCUGGUAGUGGGGGAUAACGUUCGGAAACGGACGCUAAUACCGCAUACGUCCUACGGGAGAAAGCAGGGGACCUUCGGGCCUUGCGCUAUCAGAUGAGCCUAGGUCGGAUUAGCUAGUUGGUGAGGUAAUGGCUCACCAAGGCGACGAUCCGUAACUGGUCUGAGAGGAUGAUCAGUCACACUGGAACUGGGACACGGUCCAGACUCCUACGGGAGGCAGCAGUGGGGAAUAUUGGACAAUGGGCGAAAGCCUGAUCCAGCCAUGCCGCGUGUGUGAAGAAGGUCUUCGGAUUGUAAAGCACUUUAAGUUGGGAGGAAGGGUUGUAGACUAAUACUCUGCAAUUUUGACGUUACCGACAGAAUAAGCACCGGCUAACUCUGUGCCAGCAGCCGCGGUAA
rnacentral:rRNA from 1 species